CUUCAGCGAACCGAGCCACAGCGGUUGCUCGUCGGUGCGGUUCUGGCCGUAGGUGGCGAUGAGCGCCUGGGCCUC
rnacentral:antisense_RNA from 1 species